AUUGAACGCUGGCGGUAUGCUUAACACAUGCAAGUCGAACGGUAACAGGCCUUCGGGCGCUGACGAGUGGCGGACGGGUGAGUAACGCGUAGGAAUCUGCCUCAUAGUGGGGACAACGUGGGGAAACUCACGCUAAAUACCGCAUACGCCCUACGGGGAAGCGGGGAUCUUCGGACCUCGCGCUAUGAGAUGAGCCUGCGUUAGAUUAGCUAGUUGGUAGGGUAAAGGCCUACCAAGGCGACGAUCUAUAGCUGGUCUGAGAGGACGAUCAGCCACACUGGGACUGAGACACGGCCCAGACUCCUACGGGAGGCAGCAGUGGGAAUAUUGGACAAUGGGCGCAAGCCUGAUCCAGCAAUACCGCGUGUGUGAAGAAGGCCCUAGGGUUGUAAAGCACUUUCAAUUGGGUAGGAAAACCGUGUCGGUCAAUAACCCGGCAGCUUGACAUUACCUUUAG
rnacentral:rRNA from 1 species